CGCGACGCGUUUGUUUUUGACGGCUGUGUUUGCGUAGCCUUCUCCCGGCAGCAUCAUAGACUUCGAGCCGAGUGAUGAAGAAGAGGUUGUGGCGGUGCUGAUGUGCUCAGUCAAUGUGUCGGCGCUGGCAGCACGAAAACCUUCAAAGCAAGCAAGGCGGUGGUGGGUGAGACCGUCCCUUCGCUCGCGAGAAGUGGCUGACACAGGACGUCUGCUUCUCGACUUGCGCUCGCACGACGAGGAGUAUUUCCGAGACUAAGUUUAUGGUUGUUUUACGUGCUUAUAAGAUAGUGCGUAACAUGUUAUCUCAUUCAUUUUUUGGUGGUUAGCUUCAUGCGGAUGCCGCCACGAACGUUCGAUACUUUGCUCGAACUGCUGCGCCCCGCAAUAUCCAAGCAGGACACAAACUACCGGCCUGCAAUUUCGGCGCACGACUGCCUGGCCAUGACCAUUAGGUUUUUGGCGACAGGCGAAACCCAGAGGGACGUGGCCGUCAACUUCCUAGCGGGAAGAUCAACCGUUUCCUCCAUACUGUCGGAGGCCAGUGAGGCCCUUUGGCUUGUACUCUAGCCACCGUACCUCCGGCACCCUUCAAUAACAGAUGAGUGGAUGAAGAUUUCACAAGAAUUUCACGAGAGGUGGAACAUCCCUCACUGCCUCGGUGCUAUAGAUGGCAAGUACGUGACCAUAGAGUGCCCUGCGAACUCCGGGUCUGUGGACUUCAACUAUAAGGGCUCAUUCAGCAAGUUGCUGCUUGCUGUGUGUGAUGCAUAAUACAGGUUCAUAUACGUGGAAUUGGGGCACUCUGGAAGUGAAAGUGAGGGUGGGAUUUUCUCCUGCUGCAAUCUCCAAAAAAAUAUUUUGCAAGAAGCACUGGGCUUGCCACCAGUGAGCACCAUGGGCAACGAGGGUCCCCUUCCUUACUUCUUCGUCAGAGAAGAGGCCUUCCCGUUGAAGGAGUACGUGAUGGGGCCAUACGCAAGACGGACACUGCAUGAAGACAAGUCCUACGAGCGUCGCGUCUUCAAUUAUAGGAUGUCCAGGGCACGCCACACUAUUGAGAAUACCUUUGGCAUUCUGGCACAAAGGUGGAGGGUGCUGCGCCGACCCAUUAAGGUGAAAGAAGUCAAUAUAAAGGCAUACAUCGGAGCAUGCAUAGUGCUACAUAACAUUCUCCUUAAGGAGUCCACAGCAUCCUCCACUGCCUAUUGCCCCCCUGGUGCCACAGACAGCGAGGAUUGGGAAGGACAUCUUUCACCUGAAAGCUGGAGGGACGAGGAAGCAGCCGGCGGAGUGCUCAUACCAUCAAGGCCUACCGGCUGCAAUACUGCGCGGUAUGCUUUCAUUCAAUUUAUGACUGUUGAGGUGCCAUGACACAUAUAGUGCGCAACCGACAAAGACUGAAGGAUACAGAAGGGACACAGACGAGAGGCUCACAUGCGUUUCGCAUUAGUAAUGGGCAUUUAAACAGUGC